rnacentral:misc_RNA from 1 species
GAAAUGCGAUAAGUAAUGCGAAUUGCAGAAUUUUAGUGAGUCAUCGAAUCUUUGAACGCACAUUGCGCCCUUUGGUAUUCCGAAGGGCAUGCCUGUUCGAGCGUCAUUAUCAACCCUCAAGCUCGGCUUGAUAUUGGACACGAUCGGUCACACGAUCGAUCCCAAAGACAAUGACGGCGUCUGGAGGACCCUCGGUACAUUGAGCUUUCACCAGCACGUACCGGUGUGGUUCGACAGCCCGGUCUCUUACAUUUUCUCAAGGUUGACCUCGGAUCAGGUAGGAAUACCCGCUGAACUUAA